rnacentral:rRNA from 1 species
GAGAGGGAGCCUGAGAAACGGCUACCACAUCCAAGGAAGGCAGCAGGCGCGCAAAUUACCCACUCCCGGCACGGGGAGGUAGUGACGAAAAAUAACGAUACGGGACUCAUCCGAGGCCCCGUAAUCGGAAUGAGUACACUCUAAACCCUUUAACGAGGAUCAAUUGGAGGGCAAGUCUGGUGCCAGCAGCCGCGGUAAUUCCAGCUCCAAUAGCGUAUAUUAAAGUUGUUGCGGUUAAAAGGCUCGUAGUCGAAUUUGUGUCUCGCGCCGUCGGUUCAUCGUCCGCGGUGUUAACUGGCGUGAAGCGAGACGUCCUGCCGGUGGAUUUAGCCGUUGGCCGAUUUCGAUUCGCGGGAGCUUCGGCGAACGCGCGUUGGCGGUCCAGCGGCGGUCCAACUCAAUCCUGCCGCGGUGCUCUUCACUGAGUGUCGAGGUGGGCCGGCACGUUUACUUUGAACAAAUUAGAGUGCUUAAAGCAGGCUAAAAUUUCGCCUGAAUAUUGUGUGCAUGGAAUAAUGGAAUAGGACCUCGGUUCUAUUUUGUUGGUUUUCGGAACCCCGAGGUAAUGAUUAGUAGGAACGGAUGGGGGCAUUCGUAUUGCGACGUUAGAGGUGAAAUUCUUGGAUCGUCGCAAGACGAACGGAAGCGAAAGCAUUUGCCAAAAACGCUUUCAUUGAUCAAGAACGAAAGUUAGAGGUUCGAAGGCGAUCAGAUACCGCCCUAGUUCUAACCAUAAACGAUGCCAGCUAGCGAUCCGUCGACGUUCCUCCGAUGACUCGACGGGCAGCUUCCGGGAAACCAAAGCUUUUGGGUUCCGGGGGAAGUAUGGUUGCAAAGCUGAAACUUAAAGGAAUUGACGGAAGGGCACCACCAGGAGUGGAGCCUGCGGCUUAAUUUGACUCAACACGGGAAACCUCACCAGGCCCGGACACCGGAAGGAUUGACAGAUUGAGAGCUCUUUCUUGAUUCGGUGGGUGGUGGUGCAUGGCCGUUCUUAGUUGGUGGAGCGAUUUGUCUGGUUAAUUCCGAUAACGAACGAGACUCUAGCCUGCUAACUAGGCGCUAAUUUUGACAUCGCAAAGGCCCGCCGGCCGUCGUUUCGGGAGCCCCGUGCGUUCACGCGUAUCGGGUCUUUUCGUUUGCGGCGCGUCGCGCGCGGUUUUUACUGUCGGCGUACAAACAUAUCUUCUUAGAGGGACAGGCGGCUUCUAGCCGCACGAGAUUGAGCAAUAACAGGUCUGUGAUGCC